rnacentral:rRNA from 1 species
UACGGAGGGGGCUAGCGUUGUUCGGAAUUACUGGGCGUAAAGCGUGCGCAGGCGGUUCGUUAAGACAGAUGUGAAAUCCCCGGGCUUAACCUGGGAACUGCAUUUGUGACUGGCGAGCUAGAGUAUGGCAGAGGGGGGUAGAAUUCCACGUGUAGCAGUGAAAUGCGUAGAGAUGUGGAGGAAUACCGAUGGCGAAGGCAGCCCCCUGGGCCAAUACUGACGCUCAUGCACGAAAGCGUGGGGGACAAACAGG